rnacentral:rRNA from 1 species
GAUGAACGCUAGCGGGAGGCUUAACACAUGCAAGUCGUGGGGCAGCACGGGGUAGCAAUAUCCUGGUGGCGACCGGCGCACGGGUGAGUAACGCGUAUGCAACCUACCCAGUACAGGGGGAUAGCCCGGAGAAAUUCGGAUUAAUACCCCAUAAUGAUAUUAAGAGGCAUCUUUUAAUAUUUAAAGCUACGGCGGUACUGGAUGGGCAUGCGUAAGAUUAGCUAGUCGGUAGGGUAACGGCCUACCAAGGCUCCGAUCUUUAGGGGUCCUGAGAGGGUGAUCCCCCACACUGGUACUGAGACACGGACCAGACUCCUACGGGAGGCAGCAGUGAGGAAUAUUGGUCAAUGGGCGCAAGCCUGAACCAGCCAUCCCGCGUGAAGGAAGAAUGCGCUAUGCGUUGUAAACUUCUUUUCCGGAGGAAUAAAAUUUUGUACGAGUACAGGACUGAAGGUACUCCGGGAAUAAGCAUCGGCUAACUCCGUGCCAGCCGCCGCGGUAACAC